CAGAGCCCGCCAGCCGCUGCACCAGGGCCACACCUGGGGGUGACCGACGCCUCACCUCCAGUAGGCACCAUGGUCUGAGCUAAUCUCCCUUGCACUAACUUGCUCUCACCCAGCUCCUCUGUGUGUCACCUGGCUGCCCCUGGGGCUGACCCCUGACUAACAGCCACCCCUGCCCACCAGAGGCCCCGGGGCCUGGCGCCGGCUGCCUCCGAUUAACCUUCACCCGGACUAACCUUCCCUCCUGGUCUGUUCCUUCCAGCGGAAACUAACGGCUUGAGGAUUUCCUUCUGACUAACAACAGGUCUGACCCUCCUGUCACUGUUACAGCUUGAGCGUCUGCAUGGCUGGG
rnacentral:lncRNA from 1 species